UAGUAUGGGGAUCUGCCCGAUAGAGGGGAAUAACUACUGGAAACGGUGGCUAAUACCGCAUAAUGUCUACGGACCAAAGCAGGGGCUCUUCGGACCUUGCACUAUCGGAUGAACCCAUAUGGGAUUAGCUAGCAGGUGGGGUAAAGGCUCACCUAGGCGACGAUCUCUAGCUGGUCUGAGAGGAUGAUCAGCCACACUGGGACUGAGACACGGCCCAG
rnacentral:rRNA from 1 species